rnacentral:misc_RNA from 1 species
UGGCUCUGGCAUCGAUGAAGAACGCAGCGAAAUGCGAUACGUAAUGCGAAUUGCAGAAUUCAGUGAGUCAUCGAAUCUUUGAACGCACAUUGCGCCCGCUAGUAUUCUGGCGGGCAUGCCUGUUCGAGCGUCAUUUCAACCCUCAAGCCCCCGGGCUUGGCGUUGGGGAUCGGCGAGCCUUCGCGCCCGCCGUCCCCUAAAUAUAGUGGCGGUCUCGCUGUAGCUUCCUCUGCGUAGUAGCACACCUCGCACUGGAAAACAGCCUGGCCACGCCGUAAAACACCCAACUUCUGAAAUUUUGACCUCGAAUCAGGUAGGAAUACCCGCUGA